UGACCGGCCACACUGGGACUGAGACCCGGCCCAGAUUCCUACGGGAGGCAGCAGUGGGGAAUAUUGCACAAUGGGCGAAAGCCUGAUGCAGCAACGCCGCGUGAGGGACGACGGCCUUCGGGUUGUAAACCUCUUUUAGCAGGGAAGAAGCGAAAGUGACGGUACCUGCAGAAAAAGCACCGGCUAACUACGUGCCAGCAGCCGCGGUAAUACGUAGGGUGCAAGCGUUGUCCGGAAUUAUUGGGCGUAAAGAGCUCGUAGGCGGUUUGUCGCGUCUGCUGUGAAAUCCCGAGGCUCAACCUCGGGUCUGCAGUGGGUACGGGCAGACUAGAGUGCGGUAGGGGAGAUUGGAAUUCCUGGUGUAGCGGUGGAAUGCGCAGAUAUCAGGAGGAACACCGAUGGCGAAGGCAGAUCUCUGGGCCGUAACUGACGCUGAGGAGCGAAAGGGUGGGGAGCAAACAGGCUUAGAUACCCUGGUAGUCCACCCCGUAAACGUUGGGAACUAGAUGUGGGGACCAUUCCACGGUCUCCGUGUCGCAGCUAACGCAUUAAGUUCCCCGCCUGGGGAGUACGGCCGCAAGGCUAAAACUCAAAGGAAUUGACGGGGGCCCGCACAAGCGGCGGAGCAUGCGGAUUAAUUCGAUGCAACGCGAAGAACCUUACCAAGGCUUGACAUAUACGAGAACGGGCCAGAAAUGGUCAACUCUUUGGACACUCGUAUACAGGUGGUGCAUGGUUGUCGUCAGCUCGUGUCGUGAGAUGUUGGGUUAAGUCCCGCAACGAGCGCAACCCUCGUUCUAUGUUGCCAGCACGUAAUGGUGGGAACUCAUGGGAUACUGCCGGGGUCAACUCGGAGGAAGGUGGGGACGACGUCAAAUCAUCAUGCCCCUUAUGUCUUGGGCUUCACGCAUGCUACAAUGGCCGAUACAAAGGGCUGCAAUACCGCAAGGUGGAGCGAAUCCCAAAAAGUCGGUCCCAGUUCGGAUUGAGGUCUGCAACUCGACCUCAUGAAGUCGGAGUCUAUAGUAAUAGCAGAUCAGCAACGGUGCGGUCAAUAUGUUCCGUAGCGUUUGACCCUCG
rnacentral:rRNA from 1 species